rnacentral:rRNA from 1 species
GUGCACGCUGGCGGUAGGCCUAACACAUGCAAGUCGAACGGCAGCACCGUAUGAGCUUGCUCUUACGGGUGGCGAGUGGCGGACGGGUGAGGAAUACAUCGGAAUCUACUUUUUCGUGGGGGAUAACGUAGGGAAACUUACGCUAAUACCGCAUACGACCUACGGGUGAAAGCAGGGGAUCUUCGGACCUUGCGCGAUUGAAUGAGCCGAUGUCGGAUUAGCUAGUUGGCGGGGUAAAGGCCCACCAAGGCGACGAUCCGUAGCUGGUCUGAGAGGAUGAUCAGCCACACUGGAACUGAGACACGGUCCAGACUCCUACGGGAGGCAGCAGUGGGGAAUAUUGGACAAUGGGCGCAAGCCUGAUCCAGCCAUACCGCGUGGGUGAAGAAGGCCUUCGGGUUGUAAAGCCCUUUUGUUGGGAAAGAAAAGCAGUAGGUUAAUACCCCGCUGUUCUGACGGUACCCAAAGAAUAAGCACCGGCUAACUUCGUG